UACAGAGACUGCAAGCGUUAUUCGGAUUCACUGGGCGUAAAGGGUGCGCAGGCGGCCGUGUGUGUGAAGCGUGAAAGCCUGGAGCUUAACUCCAGAAUUGCACCUCAAACUACAUGGCUAGAGCAUUGGAGAGGGUAGCAGAAUUCAUGGUGUAGCAGUGAAAUGCGUAGAUAUCAUGAGGAAUACCAGAGGCGAAGGCGGCUACCUGGACAAUUGCUGACGCUCAGGCACGAAAGCGUGGGGAGCAAAAGGG
rnacentral:rRNA from 1 species